rnacentral:lncRNA from 15 species
AUGAAAGUCAGUCACACUUUUAUCUGCUUCUUCUUCCUCUCACUGUGGGAUGGAAACACUCGUCUCAUUAAUGCAGUCCCCAUUAUUACAGAACAGGAGGGAGGAGACAUUAGAUAUGGGUGUUCCUUCUCAUUCUCUUUCUCUGGAAAAAGAAAGAUCUUCUGUAAGGAUGAAUGUAAAGAAAAAGACAUUCUUAUUCAAACCACUGAUAAAAGCGCUCAGCGUGGCAGAUACAGCAUUGAAUAUGAAGAAGGAACAUUUGGAUUAUACGCAGUUCUCUAUGUUAGCAUCACAAAACUGACCAAGUCGGACUCGGGACGGUACAAAUGUUCAGCCAGACGUAUGUUUCUAGAUUCAACCAAGGACUUUGAGAUCAGAGUUGAAGAUGCUCCAACCACUUCCAAACCAAAGUGGAAAACCACCACCAAAGCACCUUUUACACCAUCAGUCCCAUCAGCCUCCACACUGACAACAACACAGAGUUUAAGCUCUAGUUCAGGAAGCUCCACACCUUCAUCAUCCUCCCCUGAAACCCCCAACCAGCCUGAACAGCAACAGAGAGCUGCAGGUCCAGGUGUGCUGCUGUAUGUGCAUUUGCUACUGGUCAUCAAGAUCAUCGUAUUAUCAGCGGCUGUGCUGCUUUUCUGCAGAGAGAGGGCAGGUAAACCCAAAGGAGGAGGACAGACAGAGCAGAUCUCCUCCUGAAGAAAUAUCUACAGUUUACACUUUCCACCGCAGACAGUUCUCAGGACAACACUUCCAGUAAACUCAUCUACUCUGAACGGUGCAGCUGCCUCGCUCGACAGCGCCCCCCGUGGUGAUGCAGAUACUGUUGUCUACUCUUUGCCAUUUGCUGGAAAAA